GUGCGGGAUUGUUUUAUGUGUACUCAUUAUACACGCCUGUAAGUCACGGUUGUUCGUGUAUGUGAGUUGUUUUUGGGACUGUUUAGUUCCCCUGUGUUUUUGGGGCAUUUGUUUUGAGUGGUGUCUGUUUUCACCUGGUUGGUGAAUAAAGAAGUAGUGCUACUAUGAACUCUCUGUCUCCUGCGUCUGACUCCUUCCUCCACUACACCCCGGGCAUUACAGUCUCAUUGAGAAGACCAGUGGCGUGGAAAAAGAACGACUUAUCCAGCCUGAUUGAUCUACCUCAUGGUUAGUCAUUCAUUCCCAAUAGGUUUGUUGACCUCCCUCAGAGAUACACAUUAACCGAGAUCCUAGUAGGCCGAACGAGGAGCAGUCUCCAAGAAGAGGGGCCAAUAGGGAGAAACCAAGCGAUCUACUUAUCAGCGCUUUCAGAUGUUUAUUUACAAAUCAUCAGGGGCUUGAGAAGAAAGGAUGCCUCAAAGACGGUCACCUGCAGAUCUUCAAACCCUGUAUUAUUUCCCUGGCACAGCAGCAGCCUGGCCUGGCUGCACCACUUGCCAUAUUUGAUCGGUGUCGACAGCCACUCAUGGGGCUUCAAAGGGAGAUAAUGAGGGCUGCAGAUGUGUGACUGCUGGCAGUCCUAAUCUAUUUAAAGUAGGGAUCCGCUCCAGAUCUUUUUCAUCCACCCUCACAGAGACGAGGCUUUUUCCAAGGACUCUAUAAUACAGUGCAUUAGGAGAUAAAUGCCUCUCCUCACAGCUGUCUCAUGCUGACAGCCUCCUGGAAAACUGGCUCUGUGAGGCUCUGGAAGGAUCCUUCCUCCCCUGUAUCUCUCUCCCUCUCUCCCUUCCAUCCCUCAGCUCUGACUCCUGGCCUGUCCAUUGAGCUGAUUUUACUUCAUAAGUUAUUUUCAUGAGCAAGGUCUUCUGAGGGUGAUGGAUGACAGUCUCUUGUCAUCCUCUGGUCUCAGCCCAGAUUGCAGACUUCCAUCCCCAGAGCAGGAGGCCUGAGCUGGACCCCAGACGACACAUCUGCCAUCACUACUCCC
ensembl:lncRNA